rnacentral:rRNA from 1 species
UAAAAUAAUCUAAUGAUAUAUCCCGAAAAUAUAAGAUCUAAGUAUAAUAUAAGGUUAUAGCCUAAAGUUUAAUUACUGUAGCAUUAGUUUGUAAUAAAUAAUAUCUUAGUGGUGAAAGGCCUACAAUUAUGUUGAUAGCUGGAUAAUUACUAAAUAUAUUUAGUGUAUAAUAAAUUUAUGAAGUGAUAAGAUUUCGUAAUUAGAAUUUUUUGUAUAAUUUGAGAGUGCUUUUAAUUAAUACUUAAUAGUAUUUGCUUUUAGUAAAAUUAUCUUACUAAUAAAUAUUCUUUAGUAGUAGUUCACUUAACUUAAUUAAUUUAAAAAGUUGAUAAUGUAUAAAUAAGUAUAUUAUUAUAAAUUUAACUAAAUAAACUCGGCAAAUAUUAUGUACGACUGUUUAACAAAAACAUAGCCGGUAGUUAUUAUAUUAUCGGUAUGACCUGCCCGGUGAACUUUUAACGGCCGCAGUACUAUGACUGUGCAAAGGUAGCAUAAUCAUUUGACUUUUAAUUGAAGUCUAGUAUGAAAGGAAAAACGUAUAUAAGCUGUAUCAGGUAUAAAUUUAUAUAAAUUAUUUAUAGGGUGAAAAUACCCUAAAUAAGAAAAAUAGACGAGAAGACCCUUAGAAUUUUAAGAAAAAGCAUCAUCUAUUAUGAAAUGAUUUUUGUUGGGGCAACAUUUUUUCAUAAAAUAAAAAAGAAGUACUAUAACACAACGAAAAAGUUUAAUAAAGAAAAAAUUACCUUAGGGAUAACAGCAUAAUUUUUAAUAAAGAUUGUGACCUCGAUGUUGGACUAGGAACUAUUAAGGCUAGUCGUUUUAAUAUAAUAUGUUCUGUUCGAACUUUAUUUCCUA